rnacentral:snoRNA from 1 species
UUGGAUGUGAUGAUUACUUCCCCAGAUGAUCAAAGCUGUAAUAACUGUGCGAAAUUUGUUUCUCUUUUUUGAGAAAUCAAGCCAAAUAAUCUGAUCCAA